ACAUGCGCCGGCUGGGCCUGGCGGCCUCCCCCGGAAACGUUCCCCCAUCCUCGCCCGGCGCCUCACUCACCAAGGGCCGCGCCGGGGUUCUGCACUGUCACUGCGCUGCGGUUCCCCGCCUUAGGGAUUCUCACACGGUUCCACGGCUCCAGGCCCGGCGGCACCGCAGCCAUCAUGCGAGGCGGGGGGACUUACGAAAGGCGGAGCUACGCGAGAGCACGUCCAGCGACCGGAGGGCAUCUUGAGACAAUGUUCUGCCUACACAAAAUUCUAAACUGAGAGGAGUGGCUCAGAAGCUCUACUAACAUGGAAUCACAUGUGAUUCAAGAGAGUGCCAAAGGAAACAACAGGACAGAAGGAGACAUGAGGAAGAGAUGGGACAGACAGCACUCAACCCUGAGCAGACGUGAGGGGCAAAAGAAAAGGCAACAUUAAGGACCCAUUCAAGUUUCAAGUCUCAGCGUCCCAGAGGAUGGUGAGGAUACAGCAAAAAUGGAGAGUGCAAAAGGAGAAAGGCAGUUGAAUGUGAAGAUAACGGGGUCUUCGGAGCCUACCUACUAAGUCUGGUGGGAUAACCCUGUUAAAUGGGAAGAGGGAGGCCUUUCUUGGUACAUUUUAGGAGGAAAAAAAUGGCUGCCUGGAAAGUUCAUAUACCAGCAGCAAAAAGAAAAGCAGAAUGGGAUGAGAGAUUAUGAAAGCCCUUCACGAGGAGGUUAAGUUCUGGCGGGUGUGCCCAUCAGAGACCAGCAGAGACAACUGGCUCUCCGGCCUGAGUUCGCCUACAUCAGAACUAGCACAUCUCUCUGUCUAAUUUCUAAUCACUGUAAAUAUGUUCAAAAUGAAAGAAAAAAGUAAUCUCACACCCCAAUAAACUGGAUCAGAUG
rnacentral:lncRNA from 1 species